CCGACUGCGCCACCCAGGCGCCCCUCUUAUUCAGUUUUUGUAACUAGAAGAAAAAGCCAGAAGAUCUAAUAUUUCAACAUUCUUCACUUGCCCAGCACUAUGAAAUUAAAAAACAGGCAAGUCUUAAUAUUGACGGACACCGUUUCCCUUGAGAGGCAGUAACUGGAAAUAAGCACAAGGAGCUGCAUCAGCCUUAUAUUUGGGAUCAUACUUCUCUACAAGCCCAGCCAGCCUUUGCCAAGGCUUUGAGAAGAAAUGGAAGCUAGAUCUUUCUCCAUACCGUUUGCAGACAGGGACAUUUUCCACUCCUCUCACCCUCUCAUAUAACAAAACAACAAAGGGGAAGAUGUGAAAUAUAAAGGGUCAAAGUCUGAUCCUUUCAGAUACUGGUCCUGCUUACCAACAGAAGUCCCAUUACCAGGAAUUUGGCUGAGGAUCCACAGCUUCCCCAGAGUGACUUCUCCACAAACUUCCCCUGCACAGCCUCUCCUAUGGCCAGAUAUGCUUAUUCUCUCUAAUUUCUCUGUAAACUCUGGCUGUUUCUCUGACUCUCCAACUUCCCCUUCCAGACUUCAAUUUCCCAGUUCCUCUCAUACUCAUAUAAGGUCCAACUCCUAUUUCAAUAGUAUUUGUGGUAGCUCUGCCUCAAUACCCAUGUUUUCUAAAUCACAUUUCCAAGAUCAAGAACUUUAGUAGUCCAACUCAUUUGUCUCAUGAGUUUCUGAUUCAGUAAAUUUAUGGGAAAAUUUUGCUAUUUGUAUUUUUGAAACUCUGCAUACAUAAUUCUGUCAUGCAAUCCUGCUGGAAACCACUAAUUUAAAAGUCACAAUAAGGAAAAUUAAAAGUUAAACCAAGGGGACUUCACAAUUUAACAUAUGUCCUCAGUGGCUUAGAAUAUCUGCAAAGUAAAAAUCAAAAACAAAAAUGAAAGCAACAGAAAGAAACUGCACAGCCAGGCUGCAAACCUACAUUGUGACUUUAUAAAUUCCAACAAUAAUAAUCAUGUCCAAGCCCCUUUAAGCAUCAGGUUAUAAAACAGAAAUCAGGCACCAGGAAAUAAGAGUGGGCAAAUUCAGAUCCAGGCAGCAAAGGAAAAAGCCAAGCCAGGGUAAGACAGGUAUGUUUUGAGAAGGGCAAUUCAAAGUCAUCGAAAAAAAGAGAUAACACAAACUGCUCUUAAUUUCUUUUCCCCAAGACUGCCCUAAUGUCAAGACUCAUUGAAGACAAAUUAAGACAGCUUUUAGUCCUCAAGAACAAGGAGGAGGAAUGGAGAACAUUCCUGGCCACUGUGAACAAAUUGGAAGGACAUUCCUCAGAAAUGAAAGAAAACUACCUAAAAUGAUCUUGGCUUUUUAUAACGAGCAAAUUAUCAGGCAAAUUUAUACAAAGGAGUCUGCAUUUUCAGAACUCUUGUUUGUACAGUCAUUCUAAGCCUAUAAGUGUGUAUCUUUCAAUUUAAAAAAAUUUUUGUAGGGGUGCCUGGGUGACUCAGUCAGGUAAGCAUCUAACUCUUGAU